rnacentral:rRNA from 1 species
AGAGUUUGAUCCUGGCUCAGGACGAACGCUGGCGGCGUGCUUAACACAUGCAAGUCGAACGAUGAUGCCCUGCUUGCAGGGUGGAUUAGUGGCGAACGGGUGAGUAACACGUGGGUGAUCUGCCUCGUACUUCGGGAUAAGCCUGGGAAACUGGGUCUAAUACCGGAUAGGACCUUCCUUUAGUGUGGAAGGUGGAAAGUUUUUUCGGUACGAGAUGAGCCCGCGGCCUAUCAGCUUGUUGGUGGGGUAAUGGCCUACCAAGGCGACGACGGGUAGCCGGCCUGAGAGGGUGUACGGCCACAUUGGGACUGAGACACGGCCCAAACUCCUACGGGAGGCAGCAGUGGGGAAUCUUGCGCAAUGGGCGAAAGCCUGAUGCAGCGACGCCGCGUGGGGGAUGACGGCCUUCGGGUUGUAAACCCCUUUCGCUAGGGAAGAAGCCACUUUGUGGUGACGGUACCCGGAUAAGAAGCGCCGGCUAACUACGUGCCAGCAGCCGCGGUAAU